ACCUGAGGGGAUAUCUCAGUCUGCAGAGCAUGGGACUCUUAAUCUCAGGUUUGUGGGUUCGAGCCCCACGUUGGGCA